GGGGAAUAUUGCACAAUGGGGGAAACCCUGAUGCAGCGACGCCGCGUGGGGGAUGACGGCCUUCGGGUUGUAAACCUCUUUCAGUAGGGAAGAAGCCUUCGGGUGACGGUACCUGCAGAAGAAGUACCGGCUAACUACGUGCCAGCAGCCGCGGUAAUACGUAGGGUACAAGCGUUGUCCGGAAUUAUUGGGCGUAAAGAGCUCGUAGGUGGUCUGUCACGUCUGCUGUGGAAACGCAAGGCUCAACCUUGCGCGUGCAGUGGGUACGGGCGGACUAGAGUGCAGUAGGGGAGUCUGGAAUUCCUGGUGUAGCGGUGAAAUGCGCAGAUAUCAGGAGGAACACCGGUGGCGAAGGCGGGACUCUGGGCUGUAACUGACGCUGAGGAGCGAAAGCAUGGGGAGCGAAC
rnacentral:rRNA from 1 species